AGCGAACGUUAGCGGCGCGCUUAACACAUGCAAGUCGCACGAGAAAGGGCCUCGGCCCCAGUAAAGUGGCGCACGGGUGCGUAACACGUAGGCAAUCUUCCCUUGAGCGGGGGAUAACGUUUCGAAAGAGACGCUAAUACCGCAUAAGACCACGACCGGUUCGCCGGUUGCGGUCAAAGCUGGCCUCUUCAUGAAAGCUAGCACUUAAGGACGAGCCUGCGGCCCAUCAUGCAGUUGGUAGGGUAACGGCCUACCAAGGCGAAGACGGGUAGCUGGUCUGAGAGGAUGAUCAGCCACACUGGAACU
rnacentral:rRNA from 1 species